GGAGGAAUACCCAAGUCCGGCUGAAGGGAUCGGUCUUGAAACCGACAGGGGUGUUAAAGCCCGCGGGGGUUCGAAUCCCUCUUCCUCCGCCA
rnacentral:tRNA from 2 species